rfam:Glycine max cultivar Williams 82 chromosome 15, whole genome shotgun sequence.
GGAUCAUGAGGCGAUGUGAGUGGGUCUAUGCUUAUUGCUGGACUCAGGAAAGUCCCCGGGCCACGACUGCAGAGAUGCAGACUCGGAAACGGGUUAACUUCGAGCUUGGACUAGUCUCGCUCCUUUGGGGCGAGGGGCUGAGACGCGUGUGGAGCCUUCGCUAGUCCCGCCGAAGAUAUUGGCCAAUAUCACAGUCAUUCACAUGGUUUCUCGACUAACAGAACGGGGCUUAUGCCCUCGUGAUC